AGCAGUAGCUCAGUGGCAGAGCUCCCGCUUCGUAUGCAGGGAGACACGUGGGUUCGAUUCUCUCCUGCU
rnacentral:tRNA from 1 species